rnacentral:rRNA from 1 species
UACGUAGGGGGCGAGCGUUGUCCGGAUUCAUUGGGCGUAAAGCGUGCGCAGGCGGUUUUGUAAGUCUGUCGUGAAAGCCCCGGGCUCAACCUGGGAAUUGCGAUGGAGACUGCAAGGCUUGAAUCUGGCAGAGGGGGGGUAGAAUUCCACGUGUAGCAGUGAAAUGCGUAGAGAUGUGGAGGAACACCGAUGGCGAAGGCAGCCCCCCUGGGUCAAGAUUGACGCUCAUGCACGAAAGCGUGGGGAGCAAACAGG